CUUGUAGGUGGCUUCGUAAGUUGGACGUGAAAUCUCCGGGCUUAACUCGGAGACGCCGUUCAAUACUGCGGGGCUGGAGGAUGUCAGAGGGAAGUGGAAUUCCUGGUGUAGCAGUGAAAUGCGUAGAUAUCAGGAGGAACACCCGUGGCGAAGGCGGCUUCCUGGGGCAUUCCUGACACUGAGAAGCGAAAGCUAGGGGAGCAAACGGGAUUAGAAACCCCGGUAGUCCUAGCUGUAAACGAUGGAUGCUAGGUGUUGGCAGAUCUAACCCUGCCUGUGCCGAAGCUAACGCGUUAAGCAUCCCGCCUGGGAACUACGAGCGCAAGCUUAAA
rnacentral:rRNA from 1 species